UUAGAACUUGGAAUCGUAGUUCAUUCGGUGGUGAUAGGACUUUCCCUAGGAGCCUCGAGUAACACAUGCUCAAUAAAAGGUUUAGUUGCUGCACUUUGCGCUCAUCAAUUGUUUGAAGGCAUGGGUCUUGGUGGUAGCAUUCUUCAGGGCUUGAUGGUGCUUGUUCAAUAGAAGGUUCAGAAGUCACGGAAAAAUCGCCUGCAGAAAUUUUCGGCCUCGUCGAAAUUCCAAGUCAUAUCCAAGUUUUAGGGAAUUGAUUCUGGAAUAAGACACAGGUUGGUUUUCUGUUGUAUAAUUUUUUGUUAUGAAUUCAACAUUCGAGAAAGGCCUUAGUAAACUAGGCCUCAUCAAAUUACUGAGUCUAAACUGAUGAAAUUUGAUUUCAGAUUCAGCAUAGGUACAAAAAAGCUAAUUGUAUGCUAGCAGCCUGUGAUUAUCAUACUGUGAUUAUCAAGUACAUGUCUUAAGCUAAUUGUAUGCUAGCAGCCAUGUGCAAAAGUGUUGAUAAAAUUUCUUUUUUCUUGAAAACACUAAUUUGCAUACUGUGAUUAUCAAGGGUUAGAAUAUGCAUUUUUCUUUAUUCACAUCCUUUAUUUCAGGUCAGGAUUAGUUUGUCUUGAUGUUAUUAAUCAGACAUGAGUUAGAGAACAAAGAGAAAGUAGCAGGCAAGAUUUAUAUAGCAAGAGCCUGUCAUAGAACAAUAGCCUGGUCUGUGUGGUCAGUUUUGUAUUAAAUGUAGUCAUAAUGUAUUGCUUUGGUAAAGGUAGUAGCAACCUUGUUUGACUGUUAUAUGUACAAUGGAUGUUUUAUUUAUUUAUGAAUUUUGUAUGAUUCGGCAGGCUGGGUCAAAAGGUGAAUUUAUCAUUAUUGGAUGAAGGAAACUUCAACACAAAGUAGUCCAACCGGAGGUGUUUUCUCAGGAAGCAAAUACUUUCUUCUUUUCUAACCUAAUGGCCAACUAAAUAAUGUUCUUUACUUUCACCUGCCAGCACCAAAAGGACUGUUUCCUCCUGAGCCGGAAUAAUCUUCCUUGUUAAAGAAGGCGAUAAUAUGGUUGAAGAGGCUCCUGCAGACAUUCCAUCUCUCGGAGUUGAAGUGGAUUUAUUAUGAACUAAUAAUAUGUUU